rnacentral:rRNA from 1 species
UACGUAGGGUGCAAGCGUUAAUCGGAAUUACUGGGCGUAAAGCGUGCGCAGGCGGUUUUGUAAGCCAGAUGUGAAAUCCCCGGGCUUAACCUGGGAAUGGCAUUUGGGACUGCAAGGCUCGAGUGCGGCAGAGGAGACUGGAAUUCCUGGUGUAGCAGUGAAAUGCGUAGAUAUCAGGAGGAACACCGAUGGCGAAGGCAGGUCUCUGGGGCUGA